AAAGCCCUGAACGCGGCUUCUCCGGAUUAUUCAUGUAUGUCGACUGCGGCUCCCUUGGCAACGGCUGAGGAGAGGGGCCAUUUGACACAUGUGAGACGGGAGAAAGUGAAGGAGGAGGAGGGGGGGUUUUGGCUGAGUCAUUCCCGUCCACGCGCCCGCUGAAUAACGCGAGUCGCUGUCAGCGCGCGGCACAAAAGGCGCCUCCGCCGUCUGACACUCGCGGCCGCACCUCGACGAUUUGUUUAUUCUGCGUAGCAACCGGCAGCGUCCGUCCCACUAAAUGCGGUGGAACGGGACCUCGAUAUUUUGUCACCGUAAAGAACAGAUUAUUGUGAAUUUUUUAUGAAGCUAUUUUUAAGAUGACACAUAAAUGUCACGGUGACAUUUCAGGUGGCCUUUUUUUUUUAAAGUGCCGACAAAUAACGCUGAUGGAUUGGAUUUGCCCACUGAACCCGAACACCGACGCCCGACACACAUUAGCGUCAUCAACCAAAAGCCACCCUGUGAUCAGCUAUUACAGAAACCUGCUGGACCUCCACGCGAAGAAAAUCACGUGGAUCUGAACGUGAACGCCAGAUGCUGGGAGAUAGAGAAUAAAUCUCGCACUGUCUGCUGGCGGUUGGACUAAAUAUGUUCAUUUUGGGCAACGCUGCACUCGCUCUGCAUCCCGUUUCAUCCGUGCCCUCGCUGGUUGGCUCCGCUCUCCCUCCGUGUCCAAAGGUGCUAUUCACACCAGCAAAGACAGGCGCUUCCUCGGAGGACCCCCCUUCCUCCUCCUCCUCCUCCUCCUCCUCCCCCAGUCUCAAACCAAUGAGUUCCCUGCCUGCCAGCGUGAUGGAAAACUCAUCAUGUUAAUUCGGCGGCUAACCGAAUCAGCCCAAGAAUUGCAUUUCUAGCAGACAGAGAACAGGUGAAGACAAAUAAUGGUAAUUUCUGCAUGAGUCUUGCCAAAGUUCAGUGAGGUCAGUUCUACACAAGAGUCAUCGCUUCCAGCAUAAGUGAGGCCAGGCAGGAGCGGCGCUUCCAACCGUCCUCUCUCCACAGCUGAGGCCGUUCAGCGAGGUCAAAGUCGACCUGCGCGAGGUCGCGGCCUCAGCCAAGCAGCUGCAUGCAGGCAUAACUCGAAAUACAAUGUCAGUGUUUUUAAUUUCGCUGUUUCUCAAAAAGUGUUAUUGGGGGGAAAAAAAGACAUUCAUUCUCUGGGAGGACUGUGUGAAGUGUUUCGCUCAAGGGGACGUUGGAAUCGGGCCGUUGAGGCGGGCGUGAAGGUUCCGAGCGAGACCAGCGCCUCCUGUGAAUGUUGAACCAGGACCAUUCGCGUGAGGGAAUAAUCACAUAUAUAAUUUCAACUAUCAGACAUCUGACAAAAUGAAGGAGGCAGACCUAAAAAUAAAGUAAGAAAGAAAGCCGCA
ensembl:lncRNA